GUCCUUGGUGGCUCAGUUGGUAGGAGCGUCUGCUAUGUAAGCAGGAGAUCCCGGGUUCGAGUCCCGGUAGGGACA